rnacentral:rRNA from 1 species
UACACUCCUACGGGAGGCAGCAGUGGGGAAUAUUGCACAAUGGGCGCAAGCCUGAUGCAGCCAUGCCGCGUGUAUGAAGAAGGCCUUCGGGUUGUAAAGUACUUUCAGCGGGGAGGAAGGCAAUACGGUUAAUAACCGUGUUGAUUGACGUUACCCGCAGAAGAAGCACCGGCUAACUCCGUGCCAGCAGCCGCGGUAAUACGGAGGGUGCAAGCGUUAAUCGGAAUUACUGGGCGUAAAGCGCACGCAGGCGGUCUGUCAAGUCGGAUGUGAAAUCCCCGGGCUCAACCUGGGAACUGCAUUCGAAACUGGCAGGCUUGAGUCUUGUAGAGGGGGGUAGAAUUCCAGGUGUAGCGGUGAAAUGCGUAGAGAUCUGGAGGAAUACCGGUGGCGAAGGCGGCCCCCUGGACAAAGACUGACGCUCAGGUGCGAAAGCGUGGGGAGCAAACAGGAUUAGAAACCCCAGUAGUCCCA